UACGGAGGGUGCGAGCGUUGUCCGGAAUCAUUGGGCGUAAAGGGUGCGUAGGCGGACUGAUAAGUCAGCGGUGAAAUCUCUCGGCUUAACCGAGAAACUGCCGUUGAUACUGUCAGUCUUGAGUACAGAUGAUGUGGGCGGAAUAUGACAUGUAGUGGUGAAAUACUUAGAUAUGUCAUAGAACACCGAUUGCGAAGGCAGCUCACAAAACUGUCACUGACGCUGAGGCACGAAAGCGUGGGGAUCAAACAGG
rnacentral:rRNA from 1 species